UACGUAGGGUGCGAGCGUUGUCCGGAAUUAUUGGGCGUAAAGAGCUCGUAGGUGGUUUGUCGCGUUGUUCGUGAAAACUCACAACUCAAUUGUGGGCGUGCGGGCGAUACGGGCAGACUGGAGUACUGCAGGGGAGACUGGAAUUCCUGGUGUAGCGGUGGAAUGCGCAGAUAUCAGGAGGAACACCGGUGGCGAAGGCGGGUCUCUGGGCAGUAACUGACGCUGAGGAGCGAAAGCCAGGGGAGCAAACGGG
rnacentral:rRNA from 1 species